rnacentral:rRNA from 1 species
GAUGAACGCUGGCGGCGUGCCUAAUACAUGCAAGUCGAGCGAACGGACGGGAAUCGUGCUUCUCUGAUGUUAGCGGCGGACGGGUGAGGAACACGUGGAUAACCUACCUAUAAGACUGGGAUAACUUCGGGAACCCGGAGCUAGUACCGGAUAAUAUGUUGAACCGCAUGGUUCAUAAGAGAAAGAGCUUCUUGCUGUCACUUAUAGAUGUAUCCUCGCUGCAGUAGCUAGUUGGUAGGGUAACGGCCUACCAAGGCAAGGAUGCGUAACUGAUCUGAGAGGAUGAUCAGUCACACUGGAACUGAGACACGGUACAGACUCCUACGGGAGGCAGCAGUGGGGAAUAUUGGACAAUGGGCGAAAGCCUGAUCCAGCCAUGCCGCGUGUGUGAAGAAGGUCGUCGGAUUGUAAAGCACUUUAAGUUGGGAGGAAGGGCAGUAAGUUAAUACCUUGCUGUUUUGACGUUACCAACAGAAUAAGCACCGGCUAACUUCGUG